GGGAAGCCAGUGCCACCACCCAUCAGUGCUAGUGUCGGAGUGUUGUGGAGUGCCUCAUCAUUAUUUUCGUUUUACAAGCCUACUGACACAGGAUUUCAUCAAUAUCAACUAUACCAGAAGUAAUGGUGUCGGUGUCGACCUGGGGCACUGCUGAAGUUAGUGACUGGCUAACAAGAAUAGGACUACACAACUAUGUUCAAGUUUUUAUAGUCUUUCAGUGCUGGAUACCCAACCUAAAGGUGGAAGAACGUCACAGCCAACUCAUGACGCAGUGGAAGCAAGAGCAAGUACUCCAGUGAGCAGUAUAUGUGGAGAGCCAUCGUUAUCAUCUCUAACAGACACUUUACUGUCUGAUGAGGAGG